UUAAAAAUAAAGAUAAACAAAAAAUGGGCCCGCCACCACCACCACUUACCAUAUACCCUAAUCCUACCUACACCAUCUUCUUCAGAUGGGUUGUCGGUAUGGCUUCACUCCACCUACAUAUGUGUAUUGGAGUCCACCAGAAACAAUCUCUCUCUCAAGUUCUGAUGUCGCCAUCAUCUUUGCACCUCGCUGUAUCAGAUUGUAUCAGAUCUGAACACCUCCAUCAAUGGAACUACAGUGCCGCCACGGCCAUACCUGCAACUCGUAGAUUGGUCGGAGAAGAUGAAAGGGGAGGGGAAGGACAUGGGUUCAAGUGGAGCCUUUUUUCGCACCGAGUCUCCUUUUUCUUACUGAUUUUGUUUUAGAUAAAAAAAAAGAUAGAAAACGGGAAGGAGAAAAAUUUAGGGAAACGUUCUUUGAAUGCUCCUCUGUUUUUUCCGGAAGUGUGUCCUGGAGAAGAAGACCACCACCAUAUGUUUGGUUUGGUUUGGUGCUCUUUACAGGUGGUUGUUGGAGGUAAAGGGUGGUGGAUGCUGGAGGAAAAGGGUGCUGGUAGCUAGAAUUGGUCGGAACCCUUCAUCUUCUCCGAUGUUAACUGAUGGGUGGUGUCGGAAAAAAGUGUCUGGUGAAGAAGGGGAUAGAUAUGGUGAAGAAGGGGAUAGAUAGGAAGGGAGAACCAGAGUGUGACGUGUAUGGGUUUUUUUUAGGAUUGUUGGGUUUUUUGGUGGUAGGUGGCUGGAGAUGGUAUAACCGGAGGUCAUUUCAUAGUCGGAGAUCGGUGGCUGGUGGUCAGUGACUAGCCGGAGAGUAUAAGGUUGUUCCUGAAACAUUAGAGUGGUUGGGUUUGAGCGGUGUGUAGGUGUUUGACCGUUUUUUUUUAUUUUUCUAAUAUAAAUUAGAAAACAAAGUAUAAGUAAAACAAAAAAUAAAUAAAAAUGGUAAAAUAGUCAUUUUAUAUUCGUCGGGACGGUCCGAGUAAGAAAAAACCAUUAUAGGGACGGUCCGAGUUGCACUUGUAUUAGACACACAUUUUGUCUUGCAUUUUCGCCCAAAAAAUUCGUGAGCUUCUUCACCCUCUCCCCGUCUCUUCUUUAGCUUUGAGUUCUUGAAGAUAUUGUUACUUGCUUUUCUCUCUUGGAAUAUAUACUUGGGUAUUUUGUUCCAAGCUUAAGUGUUAACUUAAGAACUAGCAUUAUAAUCAAGUUAGUAUAUUGUUGGUGUCUCAAGGGUUCAUCCUCACUCCAUCAACUUUUUAACUUGCAGAGUUGUUUGUUCAAAGGAUAUCAAUUCUUAUUAUAUA